rnacentral:rRNA from 1 species
ACAACGGAGAGUUUGAUCCUGGCUCAGGAUGAACGCUGGCGGCGUGCUUAACACAUGCAAGUCGAACGAACCUUCGGGUUAGUGGCGGACGGGUGAGUAACGCGUGAGAAUCUGCCCUCAGGAGGGGGAUAACGGUUGGAAACGACCGCUAAUACCCCAUAUGCCGCGAGGUGAAAUGAAUUUCGCCUGAGGAUGAGCUCGCGUCUGAUUAGUUAGUUGGUGGGGUAAAGGCCUACCAAGACAUCGAUCAGUAGCUGGUCUGAGAGGAUGAUCAGCCACACUGGGACUGAGACACGGCCCAGACUCCUACGGGAGGCAGCAGUGGGGAAUUUUCCGCAAUGGGCGAAAGCCUGACGGAGCAACGCCGCGUGAGGGAUGAAGGCCUCUGGGCUGUAAACCUCUUUUAUCAAGGAAGAAGAUCUGACGGUACUUGAUGAAUAAGCCACGGCUAAUUCCGUGCCAGCAGCCGCGGUAAUACGGGAGUGGCAAGCGUUAUCCGGAAUUAUUGGGCGUAAAGCGUCCGCAGGCGGUCUGUCAAGUCUGCUGUUAAAGCGUGGAGCUUAACUCCAUUUCGGCAGUGGAAACUGACAGACUAGAGUGUGGUAGGGGCAGAGGGAAUUCCCGGUGUAGCGGUGAAAUGCGUAGAUAUCGGGAAGAACACCAGUGGCGAAGGCGCUCUGCUGGGCCAUAACUGACGCUCAUGGACGAAAGCCAGGGGAGCGAAAGGGAUUAGAUACCCCUGUAGUCCUGGCCGUAAACGAUGAACACUAGGUGUCGGGGGAAUCGACCCCCUCGGUGUCGUAGCCAACGCGUUAAGUGUUCCGCCUGGGGAGUACGCACGCAAGUGUGAAACUCAAAGGAAUUGACGGGGGCCCGCACAAGCGGUGGAGUAUGUGGUUUAAUUCGAUGCAACGCGAAGAACCUUACCAGGGUUUGACAUCCUGCGAAUCUCUUGGAAACGAGAGAGUGCCUUCGGGAACGCAGUGACAGGUGGUGCAUGGCUGUCGUCAGCUCGUGUCGUGAGAUGUUGGGUUAAGUCCCGCAACGAGCGCAACCCACGUCGUUAGUUGCCAGCAUUUAGUUGGGCACUCUAGCGAGACCGCCGGUGAUAAACCGGAGGAAGGUGUGGAUGACGUCAAGUCAUCAUGCCCCUUACAUCCUGGGCUACACACGUACUACAAUGCUACGGACAAAGGGCAGCAAACUCGCGAGAGCUAGCAAAUCCCAUAAACCGUGGCUCAGUUCAGAUCGUAGGCUGCAACUCGCCUACGUGAAGGAGGAAUCGCUAGUAAUCGCAGGUCAGCAUACUGCGGUGAAUACGUUCCCGGGCCUUGUACACACCGCCCGUCACACCAUGGAAGUUGGCCACGCCCGAAGCCGUUACUCCAACCCUUGUGGAGGAGGACGUCGAAGGUGGGGCUGAUGACUGGGGUGAAGUCGUAACAAGGUAGCCGUACCGGAAGGUGCGGCUGGAUCACCUCCUAA